AGGACCGAGGAUCCCGGCCCCCCUCUGGCCCCGCCCACGCGUCUUCGCCACGCCUUCUUUCUUGUAGCGUGGCUCCGCCUUUCUCCUCGUGCCCACCUCUCCGCGCAGGCGCGCAGAACCCGGAAGCGGCUCGCCUGGGCGCCGCCAUAUUGUGCCCGCUCCCUUCCGUACGGCCCGGUGGCGGCGGCGGGGCCCGGCCCGGCGGCUCCAGCCAUGUCCGAGACCUACGAUUUCCUCUUCAAGUUCCUCGUGAUAGGGAGUGCCGGCACAGGGAAGUCCUGCCUCCUCCAUCAAUUCAUCGAAAACAAAUUCAAACAAGAUUCAAACCACACGAUCGGGGUGGAAUUCGGCUCUAAGGUUGUCAACGUUGGCGGGAAGACGGUAAAGCUGCAGAUCUGGGACACGGCUGGGCAGGAGAGGUUCAGGUCGGUGACUAGAAGCUACUACCGGGGUGCAGCUGGUGCACUGCUUGUGUACGAUAUCACCAGCCGGGAGACCUACAACGCGCUGACCAACUGGCUGACGGACGCCCGCACCCUCGCUAGCCCCAACAUCGUCAUCAUCCUCUGCGGGAACAAGAAGGAUUUGGAUGCCGACCGGGAGGUGACGUUCCUGGAGGCUUCACGCUUUGCCCAAGAGAACGAGCUCAUGUUCCUGGAGACUAGCGCCCUGACGGGAGAGAACGUGGAAGAAGCCUUCUUAAAAUGUGCAAGGACCAUAUUAAACAAAAUUGAAUCGGGUACGACAGCUCUGAUUUGGCUUUUCCAGGGUGGGGAAGGGAGGUUUUGGGUCCCUAGGGGACCGGGAGAUUUUGGAUUCCAGCAGAAGUUUUAAUCCUUCCCCUUGCUUCCCUCCCGGGCUUUUUCCAUCCGACCCAGGUGAACUUGACCCGGAGAGGAUGGGCUCAGGGAUCCAGUACGGAGACGCUUCCCUUCGCCAGCUGCGGCAGCCCCGGGGAGCUCAGGCGCAGAGCCGGCAGCAGUGCAGUUGCUAAAUGCCUGUGCCCAAGGACCAUGUGCCUCGCUCGCCGAGCCCCCCCAGCUUCCCCAGGAGCGUUCCUCCCCCCCCCCCCCCCCCCCCGCCCCAUACCAUUUGCCCCCUUCUCAUCCCAAGAAGCCCUGGGACUCUCGAGUUUACCUCCGUGGCAAAUGCCUUGUUUUGAUUGUAUUUGACCGAGGUGGCUUCUGGCAAACACUCCUCGCCCACUGCUCGUCGUCCCCCCCCACCGUGGCUGCCGGCCUGGUGGGCUAUGUUGUGUCAUCCCCCCCUCCACACACCCCCCUGAGCAGGUUGGGUUGUAUUCAGCUUGUUUAAAAACAAAACAAAACAGUCCUCUGAGAUGCUACUGGCAACGUUUUGGGGUGCUUGAAUGAAGCGGGGGUCCCCACCUCAUGCAGGGUGGGGGGACAGGCCCCACCCCGCAGUGUGGCCAAGAGGGAUGGCUCGUCCCCAAGUGCUGGGGCAGGGAGGGGUGUCCCUGCCCAGCUUCCUGGGUUUUGCCUUUUUUUUUUUUUUUUUUUUUGUGUGUGUGUGCGUGGUCUCCACUUUGCAUUUCCACUUCCCCCCUGCCACCAUGCGAGAAAAGGUGGAUUGUUUUUUUUUUUUUUGGGGGUGGACACACAUGACAGACACAAUGUUGUCAAACCCUCCACUGUCACUUCAGGGAGGGGGGGAUGGGGACUUCACUUGCCUGUGCUGGAAGCUACUUGCCUGUCCCCAGACCCCCCCCUUGCCUGUCCCCAGACCCCUCCCUGCAGGAUGAGCCCCUCAGGGCUGGGGGGGGGGGUCCCAGGCACCCAUGGGGGCUCUGAUUUCCCCACCCUCCCUCUCUGGGGACAGCAUCUCCCUCCAGCUCCAUCCACCUCCACCCAGGUCCCCGUCCCCCACCCUAGAGUGUGUGUGUGGGGGCGUGCGUUUCUUUUUUGCUUCUCUUUGUGUUAUUUAUUGCACUUGCCAGGGUGGGGGGGUUCCUGGAGGGGCCAGAGCUGUGUCCCAGUUUGUUUUUUGGUUUUUUUUUUCCUCUGGAAAAAGGGGAAAAAAAAAAAAAAAAGCAAAAGAAACACCAAAAAAAGCAAGUUUUCCUCCCCUCCAGGCUGUGAAAAUGUGACUCUCGUACAUAAAGUAUUAAUGUUUUCCAG